rnacentral:rRNA from 1 species
UGGUGAUUAUAGAGAAAGGGGUACACCUGAUCCCAUCCCGAACUCAGAAGUUAAGCCUUUCAUCGCCGAUGGUACUGCACGCAAGAGUGUGGAAGAGUAGGUUGUUGCCAAGUU